AGCUUGCGCGGGGCUGUUACGGUGUGACAUUGUCGCAGAGGAUCUGAGAUUGGUGGUAGUCAUUGCCGCGUGCUUCUUGUAUGAGUAAGCCAAGUGUUGUUGUGGUGGUGAUGGUGGUGGUUGUGGCGGUUAGGGUUUAAUGUUGUAAAUUUGGGCAUUUCUGUGGGGUUUUUUUGUCUACCGAAGAGAGUGAAAGGACAUCUGAGUGAAUUUUUGUUUGCGACCCUUGAUGGCGUGUCGUUUUUUAGUUUUUCGCUAAUGGCUCCCGUGCUCCAGGAGACCAGGUUGAACUCUUGAAUUUUGAAAGUUGAAACAUCCGGCCCACGCCUAACCAUAGAUCCGAUCCUAGUCUUCCAUUUUACUCACAUGCCCAUGCCAUCAUCGAAAUUUCAAUCAUGUCCCAACUCUUGUCAGCCACGAUAACAUUCGAAUUUCAAAGGUAUAGAUUUUAAAUAUUCACCAUUACGCAAUGUGUUUGCUCUGUAUAAUACAGAGUUGUCUUCGUUGUCCUUUUCUGCCGGGCGAGUUUCCUAAGGGGCACAUUAGAGGAGCAAAUGAACUAUUACCGCUUUAAUGGCAUUGGCGAAAGUUGAAUUUCGAAGCAAGCACGUUGCUAAAUUAAACGAUUGAUUUUAUAUUUAUAGACCGGUGCAGUUUUCAAUCCUGGGCUAGUUAAAACUACUCUUAUCUCAGCAAUAACAUAACUCCUUUGUUGAUUGUGGAAAAUACUUCCCAUUAUUUCCAAAGGACAACAUUCAGAUUCGAACAAAUUAAUGUAAUUUAAACAUCACAAUUCAGCUUUUUCACAUUUAGGGACAACUAUGUCACGCUACCCAAAGUAAGGAGAGACCAAAAAACCACACAUUCUACAGAACUCUUAUGAUAUAGAUGCAUAACCACACCGCACACAAACUCAUGCUGGCUGCUGAACAUGCAUGUGAAUUUCUGGGCUUAUCGUUUAAGUGCAAACAUGUUUUUGCCUCCCUGUACCGAAGCUUUGAUAGUCCAAAUGUUGAACCAAACUGAAAAUCCAUCCAACUCCCACUCGAACCAGCAACUGCGUGAUCUUAAGCAGCCAUUGGAAUGAGUUUGAGAACUCCCAGCUAACUCCCAUUUGUUCAAUGCAAGCUCAUCAUCAUAUCACAAAAAAUGUAGAGACUACCGUGCAAAAAACUGUACAACUUUCACCCCACCUAACAAAAAUCAUACUUAACAGAUCAAAGUCACCGUAUUAAGUCUUAUUUCCUUGGCCACAAUAUUGACAUCUUCCAGACAGGCUUUAAAAUUCCGAAAGAUUUCCAAUUCUUUCUAGUGAUCCAUAAUACUAUAUAAUUAGAUAAAUUAUUCAGUUCAGAAAAACCUCCUCCUGAAAUUCCUGGUAGUUGCUUGAUAUGAUCGCAUUAGAAGUCCAACACCUAUUCCAAUCCCAAGGCACAUCCCAAGGCCAAUUCCAACACCAACUCUAACACCAGCAUUAAACCAUGAGAGUUGGCCAUCCUCACCAUGAUACAUGUCCUCUGAGUAGUAUCUGCUUGUAAUUUUCCCAUCUAACUCACACUCAUCCCCAUCUGAUUCAGCAAUCUGAACUUUACGGAGGCGAACCAACCCAUUGAUGCCUACACCAUUCUGCUCCUUUUCCAUCUCGUCAUCCUCAGGAAUAGCAUCAAGCAUUCCAUGCCUCGAUACUUUCCUUAUCGGACUGACCAAAAUUGUCUUAGUCAAUAUCACCGGCACACCCCCACAGCAACCAGCAAUAUAAACUUCAAUGGCAGGCGCCGAAAAGCCCAUCUUCGGUUGGAAAAACACAGAGUUUCCCUCCCCCACAGAAGCCGCCAUGUAACACUCCAUGCUCCAUCCUGUCUUCGAAUCAUUUUCCAGUCCUACGCUCCCAUUCCCCCAAACGGCUUCUAUUCUCUCCAGGGACCCACAUAAAAAUAAAUCGUUCUUCUCCAACACCUCGAAUUCCACGGCACCAGUGACACGCACACUGUCUGUACUGACGUAGGUGACCUCAGAAGACUCCUUAUUGAGACGGUCGCGACGGAGGGUCACGGAGGCAGAAUCAGCGCAUGGAACUCUGAAGCCGUUGAUUUCGAGGGGCGUGCUGAUUUCGCGGCGAAGAUGGCGAAGAGUGAGAUGGUCCGGGACGCUGUCGAUCACGCACGGCGUGAUUCUGACGUAGAACAAUCUGAUUUCGAGCCACGAAGAAUUGGUUAUGAGAUUAUAUGAAUGGGAUUCCUGGUCUUGGUUAUUCAUUGAAUCCCAAAAUUCCACUAAUUGGAAGCACGGAAAACAGGAAUUAGGAUCUGUAUCGCUGGAGUAUAGAGUUCUAGAAUGAGAAGCAUCAAAAUGAACUAGUAUUUCAUAAAUUUGGAAUUCGAAUUCGGGGAAUCAUGAACGGAGUUUGAGAUUUAGAAAGAAUGCAUGUUGUAAAAUAUAUAAAAAUUGCCUAAUUAAGUGCUGGAAAGAAAGAGGGUUCCGAUUGAUGUGAAAAUUAGGGUUUUUGACUGGGAGUUUGAGAGGCUUUCAUCGAAGAUUGCUGGUGGUAGACAUUUCCAUCGGAAGCACAGACCAGGUCAAAGAAAGGAGUUACAGAAAAAAUAGCAUUUUCUUAAACAACGGUGACAUAACGUAAAAUCACCCGACACAAAAUCCUUCUUCCUCUGUGUGCUUCUCUCAAAAUAAUUAUUUCAGAAUAUCCUUAAAUCUUCCUAAAAUCAAAAGAAUAUUCUUAAAUCGAAC
rnacentral:misc_RNA from 1 species